UCUACCGUCUCGCAGUAUCUACUCUGUUUCUCUGUGUUUUGAAAUCGAAACCGCUUCUUCUUCUCUGAUUUAUUUAGGAGUAAACUGCUAUUGCUCUUCUUUACCCUAGUUUAGUGGGUGUGGCUCUCCAUUCUCAAUUCUCAUCUAGUAUUAUGGAGGAAGAAAAGGAUGCUUUCUACGUUGUACGGAAAGGGGAUAUUAUUGGGGUUUAUAACAACUUCUCUGACUGUCAACUUCAAGCUCAAUCUUCUUCUGUGUGCAAUCCUUCUGUAAGUGUGUUCAAAGGGUAUGGAUUGCCUAAGGAGGCGAAAGAGUACCUUUCCUCACAUGGGCUCAACAACGCUGCCUAUUCUAUCCAAGCACCAGAUGUUCAAAAUGAUCUUUUUGGCAAACUUCUUCCUUGCCCUUUUCAGGAACCAGCUUCUUCUUUUAGAGCGAAAGAAUUAGACAACAAUUUUCCUCCUAAGCGGUUGCCUCAACCGCUUGAAUCAAUUAAAUUGCAUGGGUCAACAUCAAUUUCAACAAAUCCUCAGAAAAAGUUUCUGAAAUCAGAUAAUGGAGUGGAAGCUAAAAGGAUUUCUUCCAGUUGUUUAUAUCGAUAUUUUGCUUCCCUGUAUGCAUAUUUAAUUCCCUCCUGCAUUCUUGAGUUUGAUGGUGCUUCAAAAGGAAAUCCGGGACCAGCUGGUGCGGGAGCUGUACUACGAGCUGAAGAUGGAAGCAUGGUCUGCCGGCUUCGUGAAGGGUUAGGAAUUGCAACAAAUAAUGUUGCUGAAUAUCGAGCUGUACUUUUAGGACUGAAACAUGCGCUUAAGAAAGGGUUUAAAUACAUUUGUGUGCAAGGAGACUCGAAUCUUGUCUGUAUGCAGAUUCAGGGUUUAUGGAAAUUAAAAAACCAGAAUCUGGCUGACUUGUGUAAAGAGGCCAAGGAGCUGAAGGAUAUGUUCACAUCAUUCCAGAUCAAACAUGUUCCUAGGGAGACAGUUUAUCAAAUUGAUCCUGAGCUUUGGAGCCAUUGACCCUAGUGUCAUUUUCUUGUCUUUCUUUGCACUUCAAAGGAAUUCAACUUUGAAGCUGAUGUUCAAGCAAACCUGGCUGCUAAUCUUAGGGAUGGUCAGAUUGAAGAAGAUUGUAUCAGAAAGUAAUUCAGGCCCUAGGGGUUGUGAACAUAUAUCUGUUUUUCAAAUUGUAAACAGGAAAACUAGUUGCUCUGGAAUUUUGGGACAUGGUAUCCUGUAUGGGGCAGAAACUGAAAUGAUGGGUAAUAGUAGUAGAACAUAUAAUUAAACGAUCCAUUUCUUUUGCAGUGUUUUUUUUUGGAUGGAAGGUAGAAAGUAUGAAAUCGUCAAUGCUCUUCGACUCUC